rnacentral:lncRNA from 1 species
ACAAGGCUUAUUAAUGAGAAUAUUCUCACCCCCUGAAAGUGUUUAACAGGCUUGUACCUAUUAGUAGUAACAGCUAUUUAUUGAGUAAUUACUAUGUGCCAGUCCCAGUUCUAAAAGAUUUAUAUGAAAGUUCUAUUAUUCCAUCCUCACCACUGCACUUUUAAAUAGUCACUAUUGUUAUCUAAUUCUACUGGUGUGAAAUUGAGGCACAGAGAGGAAUAAAUUUUCCCAAAAUCAACUAAGUGGCAAAGCCAAGAUUCAGUCCCAGGAAGUCUGAUCUCAGAGGCUACACUUUUAACAAGUUUACGUAGUUCCUAGUAGCAAGUAUCCAAAUUAAAAUUUAUCUUUAUAUAACUUUAGAAAGGAUUUUUAUUUUCUACAUUUUGGGGGGGAUAAUAUUUAUCCUAAAAUAGAUUUUAACAAUGGUCUUUGUGUUUCCCUUCAAUUUACAUAUAUGCUGGGGAAGCAUGAGGUUAGAUAGACAGAAUAAAUGAAUGAAUGGUUUCCAUGUUAGAAGUAUGGGACAUAGUUGUUUCUUUAUGAUAAGGUAGUGAUUCCCUACCUAAACUAUUUAUAUGUUAAUGAUCUAAGCAAUUUAAAAAAAAUUGAUGCCACCAUUUUUGUAAUAUUUAAGCUAGUCUCCAGCAAAGACCUGGAUGCAUUCUAGAGAAUUCAUCUCUGCUUAGUGCUCUACUCCAUCAUUGAUGUAGAAUAUUUUUAUUCAGAAUUUAAAAUCUGGUUUUAUUCAUUAUAGGCAUUUAAAAAUUCACUAAAGUCCUUCAAAGAAAAAAAAGUUAACUUUACAUUUUUGGUGUGUAUAAUCUGCCUGUGUAGGAGAAGCUGGAUAAAUCUAGCCACUUUGAAGAUCUAAACUCAUAAUCAAAAGGUGUUUAUUGGAAAACUUAUACUAAGUAGCUGAUAACCUAGGACUUUGAUUAGUUCAAGUCCCAAAAACAUGAUGACUGAAAUGCUAGAAACAAGUCCUUGUUCAUCUAAAAAGAUACCCAAUUAUGUCUUAUAUUUUCCCAAAUGUCCUUGACUUUUGAUUUUUAAAGCUCCAUUUAUUUCAAUCAUCUCCCCAUCACAACAAACUGUAUUAUACUAAACUCGACCACUUAUAUUUGUUACUGCUAAGAAACAGUAAAAAUUACUAGCUUGUGGGAUGAUAAUCUAUGCUAAAGGAGUUAAGAUACUUUUGUAUUAGAAUUUAAAAAAAAUAUUUUAUUGUAUAUCUCUUCAGCAAACAAUGCUUUAUUACAAUGUUUGCAAAGCCAAAUGAACCAACCCUUACUGAUCCUAGCCACCUUUUUCCUGUGUCUUGCAUUAUAUGUUAGCUAGUUAUUCGUUAAGAAUUUACUAUGUGUUGUAGACUAGUUGAAAGAAAAACAUAUUUCCUGACCUCUAGAAACUCAGAAACAAGUGAGAUGGUGAUAAAUGGGAACAUUAACAGUUUCAUCCUGAGUUGCUGGAAGGGUUAAUAAAGGAGUAAAGAGCAAUUAUAAUUACAUGGUACUCUGAAAACAUGCACCACACUCAAAGGGAAGAUAUGCAUUCUGACCUUCCAAAGAUAAGGUGCACAUAACUUUAAAGCAAAUAAAAGUGAGACGGGGGAGUAUGAAGGUGGAAUUUGCAUUGAUUGCUCUUCACUCCAGAUAGUGAAACUCUUAAGUCCUGAGCUCUUGAACUGCCUUAGGCCAGGAUACAGCUGGUAGUGGUGGAAAGUGGAGAAGGAAUGCAAGAUUCUUGUUACUCAGCUUCCCCAAACAUAGGCACGUGGGGACAACUACCAGUUUCUUUAGCCUCCUGGUACUUUGAAUGCCUUCAGGAUAUCUUUCAUCAAUGUAAUUGUUGUAUUAAUCAUCAGUUUAUCUUUGGUUUAUUUUGUUAAAAAAAUAGAAUAUUGUGCUUUUAUGUUUUUAACUCACUGUCACAUGAAUGAAUGCCCAGUGGUAGUUGUAAAAAUAAAUGACUAUCUUUUGCAUAUUUUGUCAUUGGAGUUAUCUUCAAAAGGAGAACCCAAUCUCUAUUUGCUUUUCAAAAGUACUAGAUAGAGAAGAGAGUCAGCAUUUCUACUUAUUUCUGAGUUCUUCUCAGUUGCUGAUUGAUCCAGAAUCUCGUUAGGCUUUCCAGAACUUUAUUUCUCCCUCUAUAUUAGUGGUCUAGGUCUGCUGACCUCAUGUUGAUUAUGAAGAUUAAUGGUUUGGUUGUUGAAAAGCCCAAUAGCUGAAAAGAAUCAUGGAAACUGAGACGUCUUCCUUAUCCUUUUUAAUGAUGCAGCUGCUAUAGAUUUUUAAUGAUGAAAGUGAUAAACUGAGCAUUUUGGUCAAAUAAUAGUCAUUUUGCUGUUGAACUCUUCCAGACUUAAGUUAUUAUUUUAAUACAUCUACAUAGGAAUUCUUGAGUUUAGGUUACAAAUUAUCUCUGAGUUAAUUAAUCUUUAAAAUUGGCUGUCCUCUAAAUAGCUAAAGGAAAGUUACCUCAAGUGCAGACAGAGGAUCUUCACUUUUACAGCAUAGUUUAUAUGUGCCAGAUAGACUAUGUAUAUGCCAAAUCAAUUGUUGCAGUAGUUCAUGAUUUAGGGGGAAAUGACUGCUAAUAUGCUAAUAUGUUAUAUAUAAACAUUUUUUUUUCCCACUGUACAGCAAGGGGGUCAGGUUAUCCUUACAUGUAUACAUUACAAUUACAUUUUUCCCCCACCCUUUUAUUUUAAAGGAAAAAUAUAAUAGAUUUUUUCCCCUGUUCAUAAAACAUGCAAACUAGCAUUAGAAAAUUAGAGCAUUCCUACUAUAUAGCACAGGGAAUUAUAUUCAGUCUCUUGGGAUAGACCAUGAUGGAAGAUAAUAAAAGAAAGGGGGAGUUCCUGUUGUGGCUCAGAGGUAACAAACCCAACUAGUAUCCAUGAGGUUGCGGGUUUGAUCCCUGGUCCCCUCAGUGGAUUAAUGAUCUGGCCUUGCCAUGAGCUGUGGUGUAGAUCGCAGACACAGCUCAAAUCUGGUGUUGCUGUGUCUGUGGAGUAGACCGGCAGCUGCAGCUCCAAUUCGACCCCUAGCCUGGGAACUUCCAUUUGCCACAGGUGCGACCCCAAAAAUUAAAUAAAGUGAACAUAUAUCUAUAUAUGUAGACUGGAUCACUUUGCUGUACAGCAGAAAUUGGCACAACAUUGUAAAUCAACUAUGAAAAUAAUAAGAACAAAAGAAAAUUGGGGCAUUUACAUUUACAAUCUGUAAAAUCUGCUAAAUGACCUCAUGUACUCUCUGUCUUGUUUAUUUUCAUUCUCAACUUGCUGUAGAUCAAAAAUACCCUUAAGAACUCCAGUAUCUCCGCAGAGAAUUUUGUCUUUACUCCUCCUCCUUCAACCUGAGACUGGUGAUUUCAGGAAUGUGUUGAACAAUGAGGUUCUUGAAAUAGUUACCAUCUAUAUUAGUUUCCUAUGGCCACAUAACAAAUUACUACAAACUUAGUGCAUCAGAAAUAGCUUCUCUCAUCAUUCUGGAAGUCAGAAGUCCAGAAUCAGUAUCAGUGAGCUGAGAUCAAAGUGUUGGCAGGACUCUGUUCUGUCUGGACGCUCUAGAAGAGAAUGCCUUUUUUAGUCUCUAAUGACUGUCAACAUUUCCUGGCUUGUGGCUGCAUCACUUCACAAUCUCUACUUUCAUGGUCAAUUGACUUGUCCUCCUGUGUCUGUGUGUAAUCUCCCUCUUCUAAAGAUACAUCUAAUUGAAUUUAGGACACAUCUAGGUAAUCCAAGAUAGUCUCCCUAUUUUAAAACCCUUAACUUAAUUAUAUCUGCAGAAUCCUUUUUUCCAUAUAAGGUAAUAGACACAGGUUCCAAGCAAGGAUCAAGAUACGGCUUUCAUUUAGGGGAGAGACUUAUUUAGCUUAGCACACCAUUUUCUCCUGUGCACCUGUCCUCCGUUUCCUGCCUUGUCCUCCCUUCAUUUCUGCUGGGACCACUCAGCCAGACCAAGAAAAUAUGAGAGAUGUCCAAAGAUCUCACUUUCCUAUUCACUCUUUGUACUUUAGAUGAAACAAGUGAGCAAGUAAUGGCAGAUCCAAGCAUUAAGAUUAUAUAGGACUGGAUAAGGCUGGAUCCAUGAGCAAUGGUCUGCAGAUUUUUAUCUUUUGUUUGCCCUGAUUCACGUAAUUUCGAUCUUAAUUCUAAGGACACUUGCCUGAAGAGAUUCAAUUCUGCCUUUCUCAGCAUUAACCUUGCUCCAUCACUCUGCCUAAGGCCAGGAGAAUCCAAUGGCUCAAUCAAAUGUCAACUUCCUGUCACACUCCAUUCAGGAAAACUGUAUGCUGUAGCAGUGGGUCUUGAGUGUUUAUUCUUAUGCUACAUAAUGAAGAGGGACAUUGCAGAAAGGUGGCUGUGGGGAAAACAUCUGGAAGAAAUAAAUUCCCUAGGAUCAAAGGGUUCCGUGUGCAGCCCAGAGGGUCCUCAUGGUGCUCCCAAGAGCAAACAAACAAUUCUCUUGAUGAGUCACUGCAAUUUUUUUCUGCCAAAAGCCCACAUGUGUUGCAAGAUCUCAAGGAAAAGGGGUGGAAUAAGGAGAGAGAAGGAAAAUUAAAGAAGGCAACAAAAGUGAUUUUUAAAAGAUCCUAACCAUAUGAAUUAAAGAAAUCUCAAUAUGAUUACAAUCCUUUAAUAUUCCCACCAUCCUUAAUAUUGGAUUACUUAUACUGGGGCAGAGUAAAAUUAAAUAUCACAAAAUAUUUUUUAAAACACAAAAACCAGUGGGACAAAGAAAGGAUGUUUUGGAAGAAUAUUACACUCUGAAACAAUAUAUUUUUUUCUCUAACAUGUGAAAAUUGGCAGAGGAGGGUGAAGCCCAGGACUAUGUCCCAAACCCUAGCCAGUGGCAUUUUACUGAGGAAAAAAAAAAAGUUACUUAUGAAUCAGUACAGCCAUGCUUUGUUCUGCAUGAGUGUUUUAAUAGAGCGAGUGUAAUAUAAGGAUCAGGUGGGCUCGUGGGAAUGGAACAAAAGGUUUUGUAAAAUUAAAGCAAAAUAAUUAUAGCUCUAGGUGCAAAGCGAGCAUACUCCAGCAGUUGAUAGCAAGGACCUGCUCAGAAUGGAGAAGGGAGGGGCUGUGCUGGAAGUUUUUUUUUUUUAUUUUUUUUUUAUUCACUAACAAAGGCUUUUAAUAGGUAACAGUUGUAAAGCGUCUUUGAAAGUAAUUAAUGCACCCACACAAAAAUUUAUUAAAAUGAAAAUUUAAGGAAUUGUCUAAAAUGAAUUAAUUAACAAAAAAAGAACAUCAUGCCUUUCUUAUUUUUUAAAGAAGGAGAGAAGGUUAAGCAAAGCAGAUUUUUGUGAGAUUGCAUUUUAAAUGUUCCUGGUUUAUUUAGUAUCUGAAUAGCCCUAAAAAGGAUAGUUGGCAGAAUUAAUUCUUAUUCACCCCCUUCAGAAAUACUAAAUUGCAACAGACAUAAAAUGGUGAUUAAUUUGGUGUGCAUGGGACUCAAAGUCCUUCAAAUUAUGAUAUUUCCCUAUAAAAUGACCAGAGUUUUUACUAAGUUUUCAGAGACCGGUAGUAAGCAGAAUGUGAUACUCAAAAGAAGAGGAAGGUGAGUGUUUUUUCUCACGUGGUCUUCAUCUUUCAGGGCUCUUAAUAGGCCUUUUAGAGCUGCAUUUCCUGUUGUGGCCUCAUGGAACAGAAAAGGAAGGCUGCAAAGUGUGUUGCUAGUAAUUUUUACCUCAAGUAGUUCCUAUCUCUACAGGGAAAAAAAAAUGAGCUGCAUUUAUCCCAUUUCUGCAAGAAUUUUUAAUCACCAUAUUUGUUUUUCUUUUGAAUUCUGUUGGAUUAUUUCAUACUGUGAUAUAAUUAUAAGUAGAACAUGUACUACCUGCUGAGAUUUUACCCUUUAUUGUAAGAAUCAUUUCUAGUUUAUUAUAAAAGUAUAUGUUUUCAGUAUAUUGCUGUUAUACCUCAAAAAGUUUUAGGUUCUGAACUUAGAUAUGUCUUCAAAGGUCAAGUCCUCUAAACCUUCCGUGUUGAAAAGUCAUUGGAGAAUUGCUGCCUUUCCUCCAAUGUUGUUUUGUUUUGUCAAGGUCAGAAUACAGCUAUACAAAAAAAAAAAAAAAAAAAAAAAAAAAAAAAA